rnacentral:rRNA from 1 species
UCCAGACUCCUACGGGAGGCAGCAGUGGGGAAUAUUGCACAAUGGGGGAAACCCUGAUGCAGCGACGCCGCGUGAGUGAAGAAGUAUCUCGGUACGUAAAGCUCUAUCAGCAGGGAAGAAAAUGACGGUACCUGACUAAGAAGCCCCGGCUAACUACGUGCCAGCAGCCGCGGUAAUACGUAGGGGGCAAGCGUUAUCCGGAUUUACUGGGUGUAAAGGGAGCGUAGACGGCAUAGCAAGUCUGAAGUGAAAGCCCAAGGCUCAACCAUGGGACUGCUUUGGAAACUGUUAAGCUAGAGUGCUGGAGAGGUAAGCGGAAUUCCUAGUGUAGCGGUGAAAUGCGUAGAUAUUAGGAGGAACACCGGUGGCGAAGGCGGCCAACUGGGCUUUAACUGACGCUGAGGCUCGAAAGUGUGGGGAGCAAACAGGAUUAGAUACCCUUGUAC